AUUGAACGCUGGCGGCAGGCCUAACACAUGCAAGUCGGACGGUAGCACAGAGGAGCUUGCUCCUCGGGUGACGAGUGGCGGACGGGUGAGUAAUGUCUGGGGAUCUGCCCGAUAGAGGGGGAUAACCACUGGAAACGGUGGCUAAUACCGCAUAACGUCGCAAGACCAAAGAGGGGGACCUUCGGGCCUCUCACUAUCGGAUGAACCCAGAUGGGAUUAGCUAGUAGGCGGGGUAACGGCCCACCUAGGCGACGAUCCCUAGCUGUCUGAGAGGAGGACCGGCCACACUGGAACUAAGACACGGUCCAGACUCCUACGGGAGGCAGCAGUGGGGAAUAUUGCACAAUGGGCGCAAGCCUGAUGCAGCCAUGCCGCGUGUAUGAAGAAGGCCUUCGGGUUGUAAAGUACUUUCAGCGGGGAGGAAGGCGAUGUGGUUAAUAACCGCAUUGAUUGACGUUACCCGCAGAAGAAGCACCGGCUAACUCCGUGCCAGCCGCCGCAGUAA
rnacentral:rRNA from 1 species